rnacentral:sRNA from 1 species
UCAAGUCCUUCACCGUGCUCGAGAGAU